AUGAUAAACGGGAAAGUGUAUGACCUCAGCCGGUGGGCAAAGAAACAUCCUGGAGGUGCCAAAAUCUUGGGGCAUUACGCAGGUGAAGACGCAACGGAUGCUUGGACAGCUUUUCACAAUGACAAAGGAUAUGUGUCCAAGUUCAUGAAAGCUUUGUAUAUUGGAGAUGUGGAAGAUUGGGACCAGAAUGAAACAGAAAUUAAAAAAGACUUCCGUAAGCUGAGGAAGUAUGUAGAGGAGAGCGGGUUGAUGAAGGUUAACCCUUUGUUCUACGUGUUGCAUCUCCUCCACAUCCUGGCCCUGGAGGUGCUGGCAUACCUGGUGGUCUGGCACUGGGAGGGAAGCAUGGCGGCUUUCUUUGUUGCCGCUGUACUGUUAGCCACCGCACAGGCGCAGGCAGGUUGGAGUCAACAUGACUAUGGUCAUAUGUCUGUAUUUCCUAGUCACAAGAUGAACCAUAUAUUUCAUCAUAUUGUUAUAGGGCAUAUUAAGGCUGCAUCAUCUCACUGGUGGAACUUUCGCCAUUUUCAGCAUCAUGCCAAACCAAAUGUGAUAAAGAAAGACCCUGAUGUCGAUAUAGCCUUUCUAUUUUUAAUAGGAGAUUAUAUUCCUAAGUCAUGGGGAAGCAAGAAAUUAGGAUUCAUGCCAUACAACUUUCAACAUAGUUACUUCUUUUUCUUGGGUCCUCCUUUGUUGUUACCAAUUUAUUUUCACGUUGAAAAUAUCUUCUUUGUUUUCAAGAGGAGAGAUUAUGUUGAUUUGCUGAUGACUGUAACAUUCUUCUACAAGUUUUUCUGGCUGUAUGGCCCGUAUUAUGGAGGCUGGGGAGCUUUUGGACUCUACAUGUUUAUGAGAUUCCUAGAAAGCCAUUGGUUCACUUGGGUGACUCAGAUGAGCCACUUACCAAUGAGGGUAGAGAAGGAGAAGGAGGAAGACUGGUUCUCUCUCCAGCUCGCUACCACCUGUAAUGUAGAUUCCUCACCAUUCAAUGACUGGUUCACUGGCCACCUCAACUUCCAGAUUGAGCACCACUUAUUUCCAACCAUGCCAAGACAUAAUUUAGGAAAGAUAGCUCCUCUGGUGAAGUCGUUGUGUAAGAAACAUAACCUGCCUUACAGAUGUUCGCCUUUGUUUACAGCAUUUGGAGAUAUAGUCAGAAUGCUCAAAAAGUCAGGAGAGAUCUGGUAUGAUGCCUAUUAUCAUGGAUGACCAAAUCCUGGAAAUAAAGAAGAAGGAAUUCAGUUUGCAUCUGUCAACUAAAAUUGAAUUUAUCAGUUGAGCAGAAUUCUUAACUAACUAUGCUUGUUUACCUGUGAUAUGCAUUAUCUGCAACUCAACCCCCCCCCCCCCCCC
rnacentral:misc_RNA from 1 species